rnacentral:rRNA from 1 species
GUAGGGAAUAUUGCGCAAUGGACGAAAGUCUGACGCAGUGACGCCGCGUGAGUGAUGAAGGCCUUAGGGUCGUAAAGCUCUGUUGAAUGGGAAGAAAAAAAUGACGGUACCAUUCGAGGAAGGACCGGCUAACUUCGUGCCAGCAGUCGCGGUAAUACGAGGGGUCCUAGCGUUGUUCGGAAUCAUUGGGCGUAAAGGGUGUGUAGGUGGCCAUGUAAGUCAGGUGUGAAAGCCACGGGCUCAACCCGGGAAGUGCACUUGAUACUGCGUGGCUUGAGUACCGAAGAGGGUAGUGGAAUUCCAGGUGUAGUGGUGAAAUACGUAGAUAUCUGGAGGAACACCGGUGGCGAAGGCGGCUACCUGGUCGAGUACUGACACUGAGACACGAAAGCAUGGGGAUCAAACAGGAUUAGAAACCCGUGUAGUCC